rnacentral:rRNA from 1 species
UGGCUCAGAUUGAACGCUGGCGGAAUGCUUACACAUUGCAAGUCGAACGGCAGCACGGGGCAACCUGGUGGCGAGUGGCGAACGGGUGAGUAAUACAUCGGAACGUGCCCAAUCGUGGGGGAUAACGUAGCGAAAGUUACGCUAAUACCGCAUACGAUCUACGGAUGAAAGCGGGGGAUCGCAAGACCUCGCGCGAAUGGAGCGGCCGAUGUCAGAUUAGGUAGUUGGUGGGGUAAAGGCUCACCAAGCCGACGAUCUGUAGCUGGUCUGAGAGGACGACCAGCCACACUGGGACUGAGACACGGCCCAGACUCCUACGGGAGGCAGCAGUGGGGAAUUUUGGACAAUGGGCGCAAGCCUGAUCCAGCCAUUCCGCGUGCAGGAUGAAGGCCUUCGGGUUGUAAACUGCUUUUGUACGGAACGAAACGGUUCUCUCUAAUACAGGGGGCUAAUGACGGUACCGUAAGAAUAAGCACCGGCUAACUACGUG